rnacentral:rRNA from 1 species
GUAGGUGGCAAGCGUUGUCCGGAAUUAUUGGGGCGUAAAGCGCGCGCAGGCGGUUCUUUAAGUCUGAUGUGAAAGCCCACGGGCUCAACCGUGGAGGGUCAUUGGAAACUGGAGAACUUGAGUACAGAAGAGGAAAGCGGAAUUCCACGUGUAGCGGUGAAAUGCGUAGAGAUGUGGAGGAACACCAGUGGCGAAGGCGGCUUUCUUGUCUGUAACUGACGCUGAGGCGCGAAAGCGUGGGGAGCAAACAGGAUUAGAUACCCUGGUAGUCCACGCCGUAAACGAUGAGUGCUAAGUGUUAGGGGGUUUCCGCCCCUUAGUGCUGCAGCUAACGCAUUAAUCACUCCGCCUUGGGAGUACGGCCGCAAAGGCUG